rnacentral:lncRNA from 1 species
GCCGAGGCCUGCUGCCAGGAUCUGGGUGGUCAUGGCCACCCAGGUGACCACGCCGCUGUACUGCAGACUUAUAAAAGAAGUAGAACACACAUGCUUCCCAUUAGGUGAGAAAGAAACAUGCCUGAGAGUCUAAUGGAUUACUCAAGUCUGUGCUGCCAAGGAAGAACAGAAUCUUUAGGUCUUCUGUGCAAAGUUGUGUCCACCCCCAAAGUCUGAAGUGGCUCCAUUCACAAACUUACAUGGAAUUUGGACUUGGCCAUCUUUCCUUUCAAGAAUAUAUGAUUUUUAAGUUGCAGCCCUGGGCUUAUGGUGAAUUGGCAAGCACGUGUGAGAAAGAUCAUGUUGUCUUAAGCAACUUUGAUUCCAAGAGAAGAAGAGUAAUAUGAGUACUCCAGUCCAGUCACCUGAUGAGAGAUUCCUGAAGGGAGAACUUGCAUCUUCAAAGCGUUGGAGGUAGAAGGAAGACAGGCAGAAGGACAUCCCAGAAUCAACCCAGAAUGUGGUGGAAGUGACUGCAUCAACCCUGAGCCGACACACCCAGAAGCCUUGCAGACUUCUACUUCCUGCCUUGGAAUCCUGACAAGCCACUACUUAAGCAAAUGUGAGCUACCCUUUUAGUGGUGGUUACAUGGGAUUAGAUGAGAUACAUGGGGCCCGGAUUCCUGAUUGCCCCACUUGACAGCUGAGAAACACCUGGGAGCAGGGCUGCCCAGCUAACAUCUGCUGACUGCAGAUGAAUGAACAAGCCCAGCCAGAUAGAGAAGAAACAGUCAGCUGGGCCAUAAACAAUGUUUUGUAAUAAUCGUUUAUUUAUAUGGUUUACAUUUUGUUUAACUCUCAUUUUUUAAUGGGAAUAGGACUUUUUUAUUGUGGUAAAAUGUACAUAAUGAAAAUUUACCAUUUUAACUAUUUUAGCUGUACAAUUCAGUGGCAUUCAAUGUUGUGCAAUGCUCACAACUACUUCCAACUUUUUUCAUUAUUCCAAACAGAAACUCUAUGCCAUUAAGCAAUAACUUUUGAUUCUUCCCAUCCCCAGCUCUUGGUAAUCUCGAUUCUACUUUCUGCCUAUAUGAAUUUGCCUAUUUUAGACACCCCACAUAAGUAGAAUCAUACAAUAUUUGUUCUUUUGUAUUUGACUUACUUUACUUGGCAUAUUUUCAAGGUUCAUCAUGUUGUAUUAUGUAUUAGACUUUUAUUUCUACUUAUGGCCGAAUAUCAUCCUGUGGUAGAUAGAUAGAUAUAAAAUAUGGUAAAUAUAUGUAUAUAUAUUAUUUAUCUCUUCAUUUGUUAAUGGACACUUGAGUUGUUUCUACCUUUUGACUACUGUGAAUAACACUGCUAUGAACACUGGUAUAGAACUACCUGAGUGAGUGUCUGCUCAAUUACUCUGGGUAUAUACCUAGACGUUGAAUUGCUGGGUCAAAUAGUUAUUCUAUGUUGAACAUUUUGAAGAUUGCCAAAAUUUUCCAGAGUGACUGCAUCAUUUUAUAUUCUCACCAGCAGUUCACAAAGAUAACAUUUUCUCCACAUCCUUGCCAACACUUGUAAUUUUCUAUUUGUUUGAUAAUAGUCAUGCUAGUGAGUGUGAAGUGGUGAUAUCUCACUGUGGCUUUGAUUUGCAUUUUCCCAAUGACUAAUGAUGUUGAACAUUUUCUUUUUCAUGUGGUUAUUGAUCAUUUGUAUAUCUUCUUUGGAAAAACUGUCUAUUCAAGUCUUUUGCUCACUUUUUGAGUCAUUUCUUUUGUUAUUGAGUCAUAGGAGUUCCUUACAUAUUCUGGAUAUGAAUUUCUUUUCAGAUAUAUGUUUUAAAAAUAUUUUCUGUCAUUUUGUUGGUUUUCUUGAUAGUGUUCUAUCAUUACCAAGUGUCAAUGCUAAUUAAAAAAAAAUUUGAUGAAGUCUAAUUUAUUCAUUUUUAAAUUACUUGUAGUUUUAUUACCAUACUUAGAGACCAUUACCAAAUCUAAGGUCAUGACAAUUUUUUCUUAUGCUUUCUUUUAAAAAUAUUUUAGUUUUUAUCUGACAAAGGGCUAAUAUCUGACAAAGAGCUAAUAUCUGACGAAGGGCUAAUAU